CAAAUUUGUUCCCUGUUGCUCACCUCAGCUCGUUGCUCCAUCUGGCGCUACAAUCGAUGGCUCAUGCUCCUCCUACCAAGUUGCAUGUUUGAGAGCUAUGUGCCACGUUGAUCGAUAUGAUUGGCAGUGUGGUAUGAUUUCACUAAUGUAUGUUAUCCUGCUACAUUAUGAGUUUUUUUGUGUUCAAAUUGAGAAAUAAGAUAAAGACUUUUGUUCUUUAAAUUUUUCCUGAUCUUUUGAUUCACCAACUAAUAUAAUUAUUACAAAUUUAUAGUUAAGCUAAACUGAUUUGAAACAAUUGGCAACUGGACGUAUACUUAUUGAUGGCUUGUUUUGUAUCCGAUGACUGGUUUUGUGUUCUUUUGGAGAUAAUGGUUAAUCUAGAAUUUAAAUUUAAAAGAAAGGGUAUUUUUCCCCAAUUAAUUAUGUUCCCCUCUUUGCUUUUACUAUUUGUAGCCCUUCUAUUUGGCUUUCAUAUUUACUUACUUUUUCCAACAUUGCAGCUCUAGCUGUCACUUCAAUUAUUAUAUGGAUGCAUGUGGAAUUGUCUUGUGUAAUUUUUCAUGGGUUAAAACAAGAUUUGCAAGUGUCUCCUUAAUUCCCUUUUUCCUAACCUUCAAUUUUUGAGUUAUUCAUUGUUUUUUUUUAACAUGGUGACUAAGCUUAUUGUCUUUUUUGCAUGUACUUAUCUAACUUAUGCUUUGUUUACUCUAUUGGAUAGGGUGGAAGACUUGAUUUCACUAUUGUUUGGUUGUUUAUUGUCUAUUAAAUUUUGCUUUUGUAUAAAUUUCAGAUUUAAUGCCCCUAUCUUUCUUUUUUAUUUUUCAACAACCAAAUAAUGCAAUGAAUUUGAACCAAGGCACGGUCAAUCACCCGCAACUCACAUAGGUUAGUUCA